AAUACAAGACACUGAGUUAAAUUUGAAUUUCAGAUAAACAGCAAAUAAUUAUUUAGAAUAAGUAUGUCCCACACAAUAUUUGGGACAAUCUUAUGCUAAAAAUGAUUUGCUAUUUAUCUGAGAUUAAAUUUAACUGGAUGGCCAGUAUUUU
ensembl:miRNA